CCUACGGGAGGCAGCAGUGAGGAAUAUUGGUCAAUGGUCGUGAGCCUGAACCAGCCAAGUAGCGUGAAGGAUGACUGCCCUACGGGUUGUAAACUUCUUUUAUAAAGGAAUAAAGUGAGGCACGUGUGCCUUUUUGUAUGUACUUCAUGAAUAAGGAUCGGCUAACUCCGUGCCAGCAGCCGCGGUAAUACGGAGGAUCCGGGCGUUAUCCGGAUUUAUUGGGUUUAAAGGGAGCGUAGAUGGGUUGUUAAGCUUGCUGUGAAAGUUUGUGGCUCAACCGUAAAAUUGCAAUGGGUACUGGCUGUCUUGAGUACAGUUGAGGUAGGCGGAAUUCGUGGUGUAGCGGUGAAAUGCUUAGAUAUCACGAAGAACUCCGAUUGCGAAGGCAGCUUACUAAACUGCCACUGACAUUGAUGCUCGAAAGUGUGGGUAUCAAACAGGAUUAGAUACCCGAGUAGUC
rnacentral:rRNA from 1 species